GCACGGCUCUCGGGGCGGCAGCUGUUUCUCACGGCGCACUACAGCACGUCGUGUCCUUGGAACGAUGACAACAGAGGGCUGAAACCUCAGCAACCACCGCGAGAUGUGCACACAGAGGACUCCCGUCUCCAUUCAUGCUCUGAUCUCGGCCCCAAUGACAUCGACUCAUCGCCGUCUGGUUAACAGGAGUCCGAGCCCAGAGCCGACAUGAUGCCCCCGUAGUCCUGCAAGGGGACGGCGAUGAC